ensembl:snoRNA
AUCCUUCUGGUUCCUACAUGUGAUGAGUGGAUUUUCACAUGGCUGUGUGAGAUGUGCAUCCCGAACUGUUACGACUUGGCACAGUACCCAUCUGAUC